UCCUAGGAGGGUUAGUUUUCCCGAUGUGCUCGCCUCGCUUCUGUAUUAGCGGCUAAGCGACUUUGUCUUUCUUCAGAGGUUUCGUUUUCCCGAUGUGCUCAUCUCACUUGUGUAUUAGCGGCUAAGCGACUUUGUCUUUCUUCAGAGGUUUCGUUUUCCCGAUGUGCUCACCUCACUUGUGUAUUAGCGGCUAAGCGACUUUGUCUUUCUUCAGAGGUUUCGUUUUCCCGAUGUGCUCACCUCACUUGUGUAUUAGCGGCUAAGCGACUUUGUCUUUCUUUGGAGGUUUCGUUUUCCCGAUGUGCUCACCUCACUUGUGUAUUAGCGGCUAAGCGACUUUGUCUUUCUUUGGAGGUUUAGUUUUCCCGAUGUGCUCGCCUCACUUGUGUAUUAGCGGCUAAGCGACUUUGUCUUUCUUCGGAGGUUUCGUUUUCCCGAUGUGCUCACCUCACUUGUGUAUUAGCGGCUAAGCGACUUUGUCUUUCUUCAGAGGUUUCGUUUUCCCGAUGUGCUCACCUCACUUGUGUAUUAGCGGCUAAGCGACUUUGUCUUUCUU